UGAACGCUGGCGGCGUGCCUAACACAUGCAAGUCGAACGGAGAUUAAGUGCUGAUGAAGCUUCGGCAGAAUCAUAUUAAUCUUAGUGGCGGACGGGUGAGUAACGCGUGGGCAACCUGCCUCAUACUGGGGGGAUAGCAGUUGGAAACGACUGAUAAUACCGCAUAAGCGCACAGCAUCGCAUGAUGCAGUGUGAAAAACUCCGGUGGUAUGAGAUGGGCCCGCGUCAGAUUAGCCAGUUGGCAGGGUAACGGCCUACCAAAGCGACGAUCUGUAGCCGGCCUGAGAGGGCGGACGGCCACAUUGGGACUGAGACACGGCCCAAACUCCUACGGGAGGCAGCAGUGGGGGAUAUUGCACAAUGGAGGAAACUCUGAUGCAAGCGACGCCGCGUGAGUGAAGAAGUAUUUCGGUAUGUAAAGUUCUAUCAGCAGGGAAGAUAAUGACGGUACCUGACUAAGAAGCACCGGCUAAAUACGUGCCAGCCGCCGC
rnacentral:rRNA from 1 species